rnacentral:rRNA from 1 species
UACGUAGGCAGCAAACGUUGUUCGGAAUUACUGGGCGUAAAGAGUGUGUAGGCGGUCCUGUAAGUUUGGUGUGAAAUCUCCUGGCCUAACUGGGAGGGUGCGCCGAAAACUGCAAGGCUUGAGUACUGGAGAGGAUAGCGGAAUUCCUGGUGUAGCGGUGAAAUGCGUAGAUAUCAGGAGGAACACCGGCGGU